rnacentral:lncRNA from 1 species
CGCUUUUUGAAGGUAGACAUGCGCGAGAUGGAGAGAUGGCGGAAGCAGUUAUUCUUCCUUCGGGAAGUGCACGGAUCCAUUCUGUGUUAGACAGAUGACAAUGAUGGGGGAGUGAACUACAGUUAUUUAAAAGGAAACUGCAGGUGUUGGUGCCUGUGGCUGCUGUGACUGUGGAAUGCAGGGUCCUGGUCCUUUGUUCCAUCCUGCACACCGCGUGAGAGACGAGACAUGCAGAGGCCCAUCCAAGCAGCGGUACGAUGUGAGCCAUAAGAGGUUGUGGGUGCUGCCUGGCCCCUGGCCCACUGGCUCCAUCCCCUCAGAGAGCAGAGAUCAGCCGUCUGCACAGAAUGAAAGGAGAGGAGGGCAGGGACCCAGCGGGAUGAAGGACACCAGCCUCCAGUCAAUGUGUUGAGGAGAUUCAGG